AAUUUCCUGAAAAAAAAAUUAUAUAUAUAUUUGUCUUCUGUGUAAAUUGGAACCUUCCUCUGUCAGGUAAAAAUCCAUUUCUGCUCCGAGGACCUCUGCGGGUAGAUGACCAGGCUGCCCACUUUCUUCUCUACCUCAUGACUCUCCCUGCCAGGAGACUGAGAUGGAUAUUGGAGAGACCCUGCAAUAAGGGUACCUUGUCACUCAUGGAGCAAUACUGCCAUCAAGCGGAAUUGAUUUCCUGUUUCUAAGAACAGCUAAGUGUGCUGCUUCAGCAGGUUUGGGGAUGAGGAAGUGUGGAUACAGAGGGACUGGGGUCCCAACACUGAAAUGAAGGAGAUUCUACAGUGGUAUUUCAGAGUCCAGGUUACCUGUUGGGGCACUCUCUUGCUAUUCCCUGAGGCUUGCCAUAUCCCAGGGCAAAGACAACAGCUACAUAGAAAAUGUAAGCUUAGAUUUCCUGUGUCAGCCAUGUUUACCAGGAUGCGGAAGAGAACUCUGACUUCAAGGACUGAUUUGAAGGACUUGUAGAAAACCUACUUUUGUCUCCUUCAUAUCCUCCUACCACUACGGAGAAGCAGAGUCAGCCCAGGUAGCUAUGGGCACAACAGUGUCCCUGGAUUCCUGUUACGUUUUGAACCCUCAUCUAUACCCAGCCCCCAUUUCCUGCAAUCAGACACUGCCUUUGGAAUUUGGAGCUCUCUUCAUGGUUUGGAAUUUGGAGCUCUCUUAAUGGGUUUGGAAUUUGGAGCUCUCUUCAUGGGUUUGGGGAUCCCCAGAAAAUCCACACACCGUUUACAUAUGCUUGCCUUUCUUCUUUCCCUUUUCCUCCCUUAGCUCAUCCUUCCUCCAUUUCCUCCCUCAGACGAACUGGGCUUUUUCACUUGUUCCCUCCAUCCCACACUCCUGUCCCCAUUCUGUCCUUACAGUAUACUUGUGUUGUUAGAGAUAAGUGUUAGCAUAUGAAACUCUCUCUCUGUCAGUCUCUGUAUGUGAGGUGUGUAUAUGUGUGUGUGAAAGAAAGACAGAGAGAGACAGAGACAGAGACAGAGACAGAACACAGAGAGAAACAGCAUUCCUACUCCUGAUGAUGAUACUUACUUUGUCCUUCUCCAUGUAUUCAGAUCCUUAGGAUCCCAGGCAUCAGUUCCCUUGAGAGCUCAAAGCAGCCAUAACUUUCAGCCCUCAAAAUCUUCCUAGUAAGGUUCUCCAGGUAUGUUUUUUCUUAACUGUUCUGCAAACAUGGGGCAGUGAGUUCAAUUCCAGGGCAUCUCCAGUCUGCAAGUCUACGUGCCAGCUGCGGAGAGGUGGACCAGGAGGAAGCACAGCUCAGAAAAAGGAUAGAGCCAGCAGCACAGCUCCCGUGGCAAAGAAGUACCAGAUUGGCUAUGCUCUUGGCAAACCUUCCCCGAAAAGGGACUUCUGGGUGAGCCAGUGUCUUUGAGUUUCAGGUCAUUCAGGUUUAUGAUUUGAAUAACACAGGCAGAGUUUCCUGGAAAGUGGCUUUCCACUUGGGGUUACUGGAAGAGUUGUUCCCCCAAAAAACAGGGCCAAAUUUUAGGCAAGAAGAGUCUUGCAGAAUCGCACAAUCUCUGGUCCUGGAGAUUCAGUCAUGCAGAUUUUCCUGCUCGGUGCCUGCUGAAUCUGCUGAGAAGGAGAUCUGUCCACUGCAUAGGUUCCCAGAAAAUUAACGAAUAAUUCGGGACUAAAACGAAAAACUUAGGAAUUUCUUAGAUAUGAAGCUAUUAAAGGGAAAGUCGGCAUUGGAGUGGUAGUCUUGAUUUUGUACACUCUGCUUAGUCUGUUCUCCACUAGGGAGGAAGUAUUCCCAGAGAGACAGUGACCAUGGCAAGCACUUCUCAAAGGACUUUGAAUGGUGCUCAACCAGAAAAGCAUCUGCCCAAGCCUUCGAAAAGACAAAUUGUCAGUUUUGUGCAACUUACACUGAAAUUGUCCACACCGAUAGCCCAAGCUUAAACUCUGUGCCCUUUUAAGCAAGCAGAAAGGAUUCUAGUUUCCCCUACCAUUCCCUGACCGAGAUCCAAAGAUCACAGCAAAUGGAUUCGCUUUUUCCCUUUCGCUUUCUCUGCCAGGGCGGAGGGAGAGAACCUGGGGUAAGGAUAUAUUGGCAUUCUUGAUACUACACUGCCAUCCAGCGGAAUACCUUUGCUGUUCCUGUCUACACUUCCAAGUGCUUUUUCUCAGCAGAAGAUGUGAAGAAUUUGCAAGUAUGUUGCCGAUGUAUCUGCUCUGAGGCUGCUGACUCUUGGGAAGAAAGAAGUUCUCCUGCCUGACAAAUAUGGCUGCCACUGGACAUUGAAGCCGGCACUGCCUAAGGAAUUCUGGUUAUUACUCAGCUGUACAGCAAGCUUCUGAUGCUGUCAAUGGUGAGGUCCCCACCUGUGAUCUGGACGUCACCUGGACUUGGAUCUGUUACUUCAGUUUUUAUAAGAGUCCCCCAAAUAUAUUUCACAUUCCUUCACCCCCA